AGAGUUUGAUCAUGGCUCAGAUUGAACGCUGGCGGCAGGCCUAACACAUGCAAGUCGAGCGGUAGAGAGAAGCUUGCUUCUCUUGAGAGCGGCGGACGGGUGAGUAAUGCCUAGGAAUCUGCCUGGUAGUGGGGGAUAACGUUCGGAAACGGACGCUAAUACCGCAUACGUCCUACGGGAGAAAGCAGGGGACCUUCGGGCCUUGCGCUAUCAGAUGAGCCUAGGUCGGAUUAGCUAGUUGGUGAGGUAAUGGCUCACCAAGGCGACGAUCCGUAACUGGUCUGAGAGGAUGAUCAGUCACACUGGAACUGAGACACGGUCCAGACUCCUACGGGAGGCAGCAGUGGGGAAUAUUGGACAAUGGGCGAAAGCCUGAUCCAGCCAUGCCGCGUGUGUGAAGAAGGUCUUCGGAUUGUAAAGCAUUUUAAGUUGGGAGGAAGGGUUGUAGAUUAAUACUCUGCAAUUUUGACGUUACCGACAGAAUAAGCACCGGCUAACUCUGUGCCAGCAGCCGCGGUAAUACAGAGGGUGCAAGCGUUAAUCGGAAUUACUGGGCGUAAAGCGCGCGUAGGUGGUUUGUUAAGUUGGAUGUGAAAUCCCCGGGCUCAACCUGGGAACUGCAUUCAAAACUGACUGACUAGAGUAUGGUAGAGGGUGGUGGAAUUUCCUGUGUAGCGGUGGAAUGCGUAGAUAUAGGAAGGAACACCAGUGGCGAAGGCGACCACCUGGACUAAUACUGACACUGAGGUGCGAAAGCGUGGGGAGCAAACAGGAUUAGAUACCCUGGUAGUCC
rnacentral:rRNA from 1 species